UUGCUAAAAACAACAGGGUGAAGUCAUACAAAGUGCAGCGCACUUACCCUUUCAGAACCACAUAAAGCAUUGGAAAGAUUGCGGUCUGCCUUCCAUACUACUGAAGCUGAUAGACCAAAUAUUUCGUCAUGAUGUAAAAAGAGGAUGUGGUCUGGACACUACUGACAUAGAAGGAGCGCUAACGUGGGACAGCCAGAUUGAUUUCUAGGUACUCAUCAGUUUUACUGUUCUUGAAGAAGUUUGCCAAGAUCAUUGAGGUUCUUGUUUGGACUCCAAGGCAGGUAUUCAGGAAACUACAAAACUUACAUUUUAAGUAACUAUCACAAAUACAACCACAGGAUGGAGGUAAAAUCUGUUCUACCAUAUAUGCACUAUGCUGGA